rnacentral:rRNA from 1 species
UACGUAGGGUGCGAGCGUUAAUCGGAAUUACUGGGCGUAAAGCGUGCGCAGGCGGCGCGUUAAGACAGGUGUGAAAGUCCCGAGCUUAACUUGGGAAUUGCGCUUGUGACUGGCGUGCUGGAGUGUGGCAGAGGGAGGUGGAAUUCCACGUGUAGCAGUGAAAUGCGUAGAGAUGUGGAGGAACACCGAUGGCGAAGGCAGCCCCCUGGGUCAAGAUUGACGCUCAUGCACGAAAGCGUGGGGAGCAAACAGG